UGGGGCUGCACUUCUCUUGUAAGAAUAUCUUCCAUGUUAGAAGAAAUGUGUUGAAAUUUUACUAACGACCUUUCAGGGCCGAGCCGGAUUUCAUAACCCUACCUUUGAGAUUUAAUAAAAUUCCUAAAAUAUCUUCAUCCCUACCUGAUGAAGAUUUGCGAACAAAUGGAUUUAAGGAAGGAUUUAAACGCCCUUGCUGGUAGUGAAUAAACGAAUCUGUUAAGAAUAUCUUCCAUGUUGGAAGAAGACUGUUGAAACUUUGCUAAGGUCCUUAAAAAAUCUUAAUCCUUUCAGGACCAAGUCAAAUUUGAUACCCCUAUCUUAAAGACUUCAUAGAAUUCCUAAAAUAUCUUCAUCCCUAUCUGAUGAAGAUAAAGAAAUAAUGAAAAUCCACAAACAAAUGGAUUUAAGCAAGGAUUUAAACGCCCUUGCUUGUAGAGAAUAAACAAAUCUUGACAAAGCCAGAUUUGAUAACGCCAUCUUAAAGACUUCAUAGGAUUCCUAAAGUAUCUCCAUCCCUAUCUGAUGAAUAUAAAGAAAUAAUGAAAAUUCACAAACAAAUGGAUUUAAGCAAGGAUUUAAACGCCCCUGCUUGUAGAGAAUACACUAACAAGCAAAAUUUUUCUUAUCUAAACUCACCUUCAUAAUGCAAAAUAAUGAUUCUUUUGGACAAACUUUUAAUCAGCAAUCCUUACACUGUAUCCAUCCUUCUUGUAGUUUAUUUUCUUCAUGGGCAGAUAUGGGGUGCUUCAUGAGGUAUGAUAUAAUUUGUUCUAACUCAAUCAAUGACAAUGGUGUGAUCUUUAGCAUUUAAAUUACAAUAAUGUCACAACAUGUAACUAAAUCAUAUAAGAAUUGGUUUUGAAUUUCCAACAAUUUUACCUUUUUUUUAACAAUUUUCAAAGUUAUUAACACUUCAAAUCAUUGUUCUUAACAUUUUAUAAAAAAAAAAACUAAAUAUAGGUGUUGAACUUCUUAAAUAUAAAGUUUUACUUCAAGAUAAACGAAUUAUAGGUAAUUAAAAUACAAAUUUUAUAAAGUAAUAUUUAUGAAAUGAAAAUGUUGAUAAAUAAGAUAUUAUUACAUGGA